rnacentral:rRNA from 1 species
AUUGAACGCUGGCGGCACGCCUAACACAUGCAAGUCGAACGGCAGCACAGUAUGUAGCAAUACAUAUGGGUGGCGAGUGGCGGACGGGUGCGUAAUAUGUAGGGAUCUGCCCUGAAGCGGGGGACAACCCGGGGAAACCCGGGCUAAUACCGCAUAAUACUCUACGGAGGAAAUCUGGCACGCAAGUGCUGGGGCUUUAGGAUGAACCUACAUCCGAUUAGCUAGUUGGUGAGGUAAUAGCUCACCAAGGCAAUGAUCGGUAGCUGGUCUGAGAGGAUGACCAGCCACACUGGGACUGAGACACGGCCCAGACUCCUACGGGAGGCAGCAGUGGGGAAUAUUGGACAAUGGGGGAAACCCUGAUCCAGCAAUGCCGCGUGGGUGAAGAAGGCCUUCGGGUUGUAAAGCCCUUUAGGCGGGGAAGAAGGUUAUAGGGUGAUAAGCCUUAUAGCUUGACGGUACCCGCAGAAUAAGCACCGGCUAACUCUGUGCCAGCAGCCGCCGUAA